CAGAGGUGGCAAGCGUUGUUCGGAUUCAUUGGGUGUAAAGGGCAGGUAGGUGGCUAUGUAAGUCCGGUGUGAAAUCCCUGAGCUCAACUCUGGAACUGCAUUGGAAACUGCAUGGCUUGAGUACCGGAGAGGUGAGGGGAAUUCUCGGUGUAAGGGUGAAAUCUGUAGAUAUCGAGAGGAACACCAGUGGCGAAGGCGCCUCACUGGCCGGUUACUGACACUGAGCUGCGAAAGCAAGGGGAGCAAACAGGAUUAGAUACCCUGGUAGUCCUUGCCGUAAACGAUGUGGAUUAGGUGUCGGAGGUGUCGAUCCCUCCGGUGCCGACGCUAACGCAUUAAAUCCACCACCUGGGGAGUACGGUCGCAAGACUG
rnacentral:rRNA from 1 species